UCCGGAGUAGCUGAGUUGGUUACAGCGUGGUACUUAUAAUGCCAAGAUCCGGAGUUCGAGCCUCCGCUUCGGAA